CUCAGGAUGAACGCUGGCGGCGUGCUUAACACAUGCAAGUCGAACGAAGAUGCCGGAGUGCUUGCACUUUGGCAGACUGAGUGGCGGACGGGUGAGUAACGCGUGGGUAAACCUGCCUUGUACUGGGGGACAACAGUUGGAAACGACUGCUAAUACCCGCAUAAGCGCACAGCUUCGCAUGAAGCAGUGUGAAAAACUCCGGUGGUACAAGAUGGACCCGCGUCUGAUUAGCUGGUUGGUGAGGCAAACGGGCCCACCAAGGCGACGAUCAGUAGCCGGCCUGAGAGGGGUGAACGGCCACAUUGGGACUGAGACACGGCCCAAACUCCUACGGGAGGCAGCAGUGGGGGAAUAUUGCACAAUGGGGGAAACCCUGAUGCAGCAACGCCGCGUGAGUGAAGAAGUAUUUCGGUAUGUAAAGCUCUAUCAGCAGGAAAGAAAAUGACGGUACCUGACUAAGAAGCCCCGGCUAACUACGUG
rnacentral:rRNA from 1 species